GACGAACGCUGGCAGCGUGCUUAACACAUGCAAGUCGAACGGAAAGGCCCUGCUUUUGUGGGGUGCUCGAGUGGCGAACGGGUGAGUAACACGUGAGUAACCUGCCCUUGACUUUGGGAUAACUUCAGGAAACUGGGGCUAAUACCGGAUAGGAGCUCCUGCUGCAUGGUGGGGGUUGGAAAGUUUCGGCGGUUGGGGAUGGACUCGCGGCUUAUCAGCUUGUUGGUGGGGUAGUGGCUUACCAAGGCUUUGACGGGUAGCCGGCCUGAGAGGGUGACCGGCCACAUUGGGACUGAGGUACGGCCCAGACUCCUACGGGAGGCAGCAGUGGGGAAUAUUGCACAAUGGGCGGAAGCCUGAUGCAGCAACGCCGCGUGCGGGAUGACGGCCUUCGGGUUGUAAACCGCUUUCGCCUGUGACGAAGCGUGAGUGACGGUAAUGGGUAAAGAAGCACCGGCUAACUACGUG
rnacentral:rRNA from 1 species